AGUGAACGCUGGCGGUAGGCCUAACACAUGCAAGUCGAACGGCAGCACAGUAAGAGCUUGCUCUUACGGGUGGCGAGUGGCGGACGGGUGAGGAAUACAUCGGAAUCUACUUUUUCGUGGGGGAUAACGUAGGGAAACUUACGCUAAUACCGCAUACGACCUACGGGUGAAAGCAUGGGAUCUUCGGACCUUGCGCGAUUGAAUGAGCCGAUGUCGGAUUAGCUAGUUGGCGGGGUAAAGGCCCACCAAGUCGACGAUCCGUAGCUGGUCUGAGAGGAUGAUCAGCCACACUGGAACUGAAACACGGUCCAGACUCCUACGGGAGGCAGCAGUGGGGAAUAUUGGACGAUGGGCGCAAGCCUGAUCCAGCCAUACCGCGUGGGUGAAGAAGGCCUUCGGGUUGUAAAGCCCUUUUGUUGGGAAAGAAAAGCAGCAGGUUAAUACCCCGCUGUUCUGACGGUACCCAAAGAAUAAGCACCGGCUAACUUCGUG
rnacentral:rRNA from 1 species